rnacentral:rRNA from 1 species
ACUGCUCAGUAACACGUGGACAACCUGCCCUUAGGUUGGGUAUAAACCCGGGAAACUGGGUAUAAUACCCGAUAGGUCUCGAUUGCUGGAAUGCAUCGAGAUUUAAAGCUCCGGCGCCUAAGGAUGGGUCUGCGGCCUAUCAGGUAGUAGUGGGUGUAGCGUACCUACUAGCCUACGACGGGUACGGGUUGUGAGAGCAAGAGCCCGGAGAUGGAUUCUGAGACACGAAUCCAGGCCCUACGGGGUGCAGCAGGCGCGAAAACUUUACAAUGCUGGCAACAGCGAUAAGGGAACCUCGAGUGCCAGGUUACAAAUCUGGCUGUCGAGAUGCCUAAAAAGCAUUUCAUAGCAAGGGCCGGGCAAGACCGGUGCCAGCCGCCGCGGUAACACCGGCGGCUCGAGUGGUAACCGUUAUUAUUGGGUCUAAAGGGUCUGUAGCCGGCCGGAUAAGUCUCUUGAGAAAUCUGGCAGCUUAACUGUCAGGCUUUCAGGAGAUACUGUCUGGCUCGAGGCCGGGAGAGGUGAGAGGUACUUCAGGGGUAGGGGUGAGAUCUUGUAAUCCUUGAAGGACCACCAGUGGCGAAGGCGUCUCACCAGAACGGACCUGACGGCAAGGGACGAAAGCUAGGGGCACGAACCGGAUUAGAUACCCGGGUAGUCCUAGCCGUAAACGAUACUCGCUAGGUGUCGGCCACGGUGCGACCGUUGUCGGUGCCGUAGGGAAGCCGUGAAGCGAGCCACCUGGGAAGUACGGCCGCAAGGCUGAAACUUAAAGGAAUUGGCGGGGGAGCACCACAACGGGUGGAGCUUGCGGUUUAAUUGGAUUCAACGCCGGAAAUCUUACCGGGACCGACAGCAAUAUGAAGGCCAGGCUGAAGACUUUGCCGGAUUAGCUGAGAGGUGGUGCAUGGCCGUCGUCAGUUCGUACUGUGAAGCAUCCUGUUAAGUCAGGCAACGAGCGAGACCCCCGCC